UACGGAGGGGCUAGCGUUGUCCGGAAUUAUUGGGCGUAAAGGGUGCGUAGGCGGGUCUUUAAGUCAGGGUGAAAUCCUGGAGCUCAACUCCAGAACUGCCUUUGAUACUGAAGAUCUUGAGUUCGGGAGAGGUGAGUGGAACUGCGAGUGUAGAGGUGAAAUUCGUAGAUAUUCGCAAGAACACCAGUGGCGAAGGCGGCUCACUGGCCCGAUACUGACGCUGAGGCACGAAAGCGUGGGGAGCAAACAGGG
rnacentral:rRNA from 1 species